rnacentral:lncRNA from 1 species
CAUCGGCAUGGUAGACUUUCUAGAAGCACUCUACGACUUUGGCUCCAGCGUCAACAUUAUGCCCAGGGUACUCUAUGAAAAAUUCUUUACACAUCCUUUAUCAGAAACAACCAUGUGUUUGCAGCUUGCAGAUCGUACGCUAAGUUUCCCAAAGGGAAUAUUGAAGAACCUCUGCGUCCGAGUUGGUACCUUGUAUGCCUCAGCAGACUUCUUGGUAAUAGAGACUGGUACUGAUGAGAGGGCACCCAUCAUCCUAGGGAGGCCAUUCCUGAACACCUCAGGAGCUGUCAUCUACGCUAGUGCUACCAAGAUCAGUUUCUACAUCAAGGGGAGGAAGGAGACGUUUUCCUUCAAGAACAAGACUGCACAAAUCUCAGAACAAUCCCGACAUGAACCAAGGAAGAGGACCAACAGGAGAAACAUGAACAAGCAAAUGUGGACUGAGUCAGCUAAGAUGGUUACUGCAUCUCAAGGAGGUCAAGAUUGUCAACUCAAGCCGCCUUUCUUGAUCAAGAAGGACAAUCCCGGUGUUCCAAGCAUCGAGUGCACAAUCAACGGAUAUUCUUUUUAGAAGACACUCUAUGACACCGGAUCUGACGUCAACAUAAUGGCCGCAGUCACUUAUCAGCUCCUCCAUGGAACCAUGGCCCUAUAACCAACAUACAUUCAGCUCCAGAUGAUUUGAGGGUUAUUGACAUGGGAGAAGACGAAUACAACCCACCCGCCAUCCUUGGAAGACCGUUCCUCAGCACCGUUAAAGCAAUCAUCUACAUUGGAAUCAGCGGAGUCCACAUGCAUUUCUCCUCUGAGAAGGUACGCUGCUAUUUUACUGACCCUAACCAAAUAGUUGAAGACUCUAAGCAGGUCAGGACAAGAAGGAGAUGACGCAACCGCAACCAGAGGAGGCAAAUCAUCAAGGACGGAUGGGCAGACUAUGAAGGAGAAGUGGAAAGGUCUGAAGACAUACAGCUUGAACAGAACUGUCCUGAGGAGACCAUAGCACCGAGUCAGGUGUGUAGAGAGAAGAUAGUUAUACACGAAGAGAAGGUGCCGCCGGAACCACCGACUACGCCAUCCAGCGAAUCCCAGGACGACUGAGAAAACGGAGAGUCCCGUUCGGAGGACUUAAAAAAACACCGAACACCUUGCCAAGAGGUAAACUUGGUAGUUAUCUUUUUCCUUUUAAUUAUUUUAAAAUAGUUUGCUUAGUUAAUCAUGUUCAUAUCAUCUUAAAAAGAAAAUAAAAAUGUUAAAAAAUAGUAAGCCCCAUGUGAUUAUGCUCAUGGCAUAAAACCCAUAAGUACAUUCACGGUGGUGGCAUAAAAAUGAAAUAAAUAUAUUCCUGUCCUAUAAAAAUAAAAUUGUAAAAAUAAGAUUGUGAUCCUACUAAAGAGUGUAACAUUUAUUAAGGAGGCUCAACAUGAUAAAGGCUAGAUAUUUAUGCUAACACUUAACUAGUUCCACAAAGCUUUGUUGUCUAUUUGAGCUCCACAGAAUUCAAAGAUCAAAGAAGACUAGUAGACGGAGGACAUCCUAAUCACUGUUAGGGUGCUGCCGACAUUCAAAUACACCUCCGCCAUCUGCUAGCUACAUCAGAAGAAAUUGCGUUAAAUCCAGCUUUGGGGAGAGCACCCCCAUUUAUCCAGCUAAGUAUUCUACUCACGUUUAUACUUUACUCUAAUAAUAAAAAGAUGCAUAAUCAUAUAAACCCAAAUAAAGAUUUUGUGCUUAUAUAUAUCUUUGCUUAGUUUGCUAAAUAAAUAAACAAAUAAAAUUUGCUAUGAACCCUCAUGAUAAGCUCUCAAAUGGAAAUGAUGAAUAGUUGCUCUACCAUGACUAGUUCUCAAAAUUGAAAUCUCUCUCAAGUUUAGGCAUGACUGUUAUUAAUUAAGAUUUACUCUAAACCUGAACUUGUGGGAAGAGUACUUGAUCUAAAGUCUAAGUCGUUAACGGAUAUGAUAUGGGAAGGUUGAGCUGCUGUUUAUCUGUUCCUAGAGAUGCUAGAAUUCUGGAGAAUUUUAUCUUUGAAAAUCUUUAAAAUGUUGCAUGAUGAGUUCCUGUACGAUGAGAGUUUAAAUUCCUACCACAGCCAUAUAUACAUGCUUGCUAGACUAAGAGCCACACAUUUACUUUUUACUACUUAUGAGCAUUGAGUGUGGCCAAGCUGUGUAGACCCUUAGGAGCUUGUCAUACGGUUAAAUAAAGAUUCACUUCAUGUUCACUUCUACUUCGGAAGUACGCAUCCACAUAAAAAUAUUCUACUCCUAAUCCGAGAGAGAAUAGCCAAAAAUAUUUCUGUUUUUCGCCUGUGAAAUAAAUGCUCAAGUUAUCUUGUUACUACCACUUGCUAUAUUAUUUCAGGAGAUGAGUGCUCUAAAAAAAGAGAGAAAAAAAGAGAAAGAAUACGAGGAAAUAAAAAGGGGCAAGUGCGCGGAACCUCGAAAGAAAAGAAAAAGUGAGACGAGAGGUAAAAAUAGACAAGUGUUCGACAGUAGAAUUAGGGGUACAAGAUACCCACCUGAGAGACAAGAAAAAUAAAAUAUAGAGCAUCUCAUUCUCCUCAAAAAGUUUCAAAAGAGCAAGAAAGGUAUGUAUCCCCUCAAAAGAGCAUAAGUAGAAUUAGACUUUCACCAUUGUUAUCACCGUCAUUACCAUGCAUCAUUCAUUCGCCACACAUGCACAUCUUGAUUUGACUUAUUGACUUGUUCUUCUGGAUCCAUGGUUUGACUAUGCAAUAAAUGUCUUGUAAGUAUGUAUUAGCUGUCUCCCACCUAUGAGCUCCAGAUAUCAAAACCUUAUUAGAGUAGGGUGAGAGAGAAGGCAAUGCCACUAUGCCUCAUACCAAAAAUACCACAUACUUUGAGAGAAGGCAUACACCAUUACUACCUUGGUAAGGAUCCAGAAAUACCACAAAAGAGAGACUAGAGAGAGUCAUACAAGGAAUCUCUGAGUUUUAUUUGAAAAUCUGCAAAAACUCCAGAGCUAUAGUUAAUCGAAGAACAAGAGACAUGGUGCUUGACUAGACCGUUCUAUCUUUUAACUGCUCAAGACACAAGUGACGGUUACAAGCCCCAUGGUGGAAGGUAAAAUGAGUAAGUUUAAAUCUUAACAGUUUACCCUAACCUAGAGAUGAGAUCUUGUUUGAACGCAUGUGUAUCUUUAAGGCAUGAAACCACUGCAGAAACUCUUGAGUUCAUCUUUGCUCAGGGACGAGCAAAGGUUAAGCUUGGGGGAGCUUGUUGACGGUCCUUAAUGCUCACAUUUAACCGUCAACUAAUCAUGGAAAAGGAUCUAAAUGGAACCAACACCUAGACUUAGGGUUUUAUCUGACAGAAUUCCAUGAGUUUUGGUGUUUGUCUAUUUCUGCAGGGGGUUAUCAGGAAAUACGGAAGAAAGGCCCACACGUUGGGUUUACAUAGAGAUAUUAACGUGCCGCACAAUUUUCUAUCAUCUAGAAGACUCUAGAAGCCACGGGACCGAAGCGGAGGCCGAGAGGACUCAGGGACAGGGCGCCCGCCCUCCUCUUCUGGGCGCCCGCCCUCACAUAGAGUCCAAUCAGCACUCUCUUUCGGGAUAUUGCUCCACCGACCUAAAGGAUCAAGGAUAACCGUUCAAUCAAUGUCGGUUUGAUCCAAUGGCCCAGAUUCACUUAUAGGGACUAUAAAACCAGACCCCUUGGCCCCUGGAGAUCACACCUCUUCUACAGAAGCAAAGCUAGGGUUUCAAUUCUUCAUCCAAGUAGAGAGGAUCCCUCUAGUUCUUCUAGUUCUACCUCUAAUUCAUCUAGAUCUAGUUCUAGUUCAUCUAGUUCUAGUUCUAGUUCUUCUAGUUCUAGUUCUAGUUAGUUCUAUUUGUAAUCUAGAAAAUAGGGAGAGAGAAGAGGAGAGCGGAGGAGGAGCCGGAUCUGUCAGAUCUUCCUCAACAUUGUACUUUUGCAGCAACUGGUUCUUUCUUCAUCGUUCUCUAGGUUCUUCAAUUCAUAAUUCCUGAGUUCUCUAAUUACUUUUAUUUACAUUCAAGUUAUUUAUUGGAUUCCCGCUUGCAUCAAGUGCUCUAGUCUUUAUAACGCUAGAGUAGUAAUUAAUAGAUUAGACGUGGUGUUUAGUCUUGCAAUUACCUGGAAUUGCACCCAAUCCUGCGGAUUGUUGUGGUAGCCUUAGGGUAGUGACAGCCCUAACGCUCGACGUAUUCCACCUCGUUCAGAUCGGUGUUUGUAGGGCCGUAGUCAGACCUUCCUAGCCCCCUUCUCAUCUCUUUCUGUGGUUAGUGCUCUGUUUUCCCGAUAUAAAUAAUCUUGAAGUAAUUCUUGAUUCUUAGAUCAACUAUUCCCACCAAAAAUAAUUAUAUUGUUAUCCUUGGGUGAUCUUGGAUCUUAAUUAGUACACUCACGUUCUCUGUGGAAAAUCGAUACUCUGGAAUACUCCCGGGUGAAAGCUACAUCGGUAUCCGUGUGCUUGUGGAUUUUUUCUGUUUGUAUUUAAAAUACCCAACAAACUUUCUGAUGCCGUUGCCGGGGAACGGUAGCUGUACUAGUUUCGAACCAAGUCAUCCGUGUAUCCUUUUUCUUUUUCCUUUUAUACCAGACUCACCUUACCAUUUUCACCACACCACAUGGAUUUCACUCCAAGCAUUAAUGAGCAUGGAAUUUAUUUCAUAGCCACUUCGUUUACUCCAUGCUCAUAUGCAACAUCUUCACAAUCUAUUGGAUUUUCCAACAUCACCACAUUCAAGAUCUCCAACCCCACUUCCUUUCUAUUUAUAAAAACUUUAAAAGGGCGAUUGUGGAUGCAUAUGUCUAUAAUAAAUUUUGCAGAUCUCGUUGAGUUGAUCUUGAUAUAGGUCAGUGUUGGAGGGGAAACCACUUCGCCGACAUAAAUUUAUGGUUUCCCAAGGACAAGCUUAGUGUCCUAAAACAAGCACUGAUCAGAUUGUAACAUGAGCUUUUAAUUAUUUGCAACAUUAUCUUGUGUAUUGAGCAUAUAAGGAUAAUUGCAAAAAAUUCCUUCGGGUAUUCUUGUCACUAACCUUUUCAGGAUUAGAGCAAGAAGAUCGGAUGAAUGACAAGCACAAGGUAUGUCCAACCAACCAUCAUACAACAUUGAAUUAAAUUCAUCCAAACUUGAAUUUUGCAAAAUUCAAGCUUGGGGGAGUACUUUACAUAAAAACAUUCUUUGCCAUGUUGCUAUGUUGGUUGUCCCUACCUUUGAGACAUGCUCAAUUUGUUAAAUACUAAUCACACUACUUCAUCUCCACUUGAGUAAAUCUCUAUAAAUGCUUUCAUGCUACCUUUAUUUUAGUAUAUGUCUAGGUUUGGAGCAGUUAUAUUUAUCUCUUAAUUAAGCAUGGUGCUUAGUUUAGGAAUGAUGAUCUUACUUCCAAAGGAUUUUAAAUUAAGCAUGAUGCUUAUGUUAAAAUUUCCUCCUAAAUCAAAUUAGACAUGGUGUCUAGGUUGAUAUUUGAGCCGAUAGUAUGCUAUAGUAGAUAUUGGAUAUUUUGUUGGACUAACCCCUGCAGGAAAACUUUCUAUAUCGCCCUGGGAAGUCCCGAGACAAACUCACAUUGGAGACAAAGAGAGAGACACAUGAAGUUUAACAAUUUACACAAGGAAGGCAUAGCUCAUAAGAGAUGAUCCAUGGAGGGUGCUACAAACACGAUGCACAUCCGUAAAGAAAGGAAAGCUUCCAUAAGGUAAUACUGUACCGUCACUCUUCAAGAAAGGUAACAUCUUAAGGUACUUGACUAUCACUUCUAUAAGCUUCUCCUUAUUUCUUGUAUUCACAUGAGUAAAAGAGACAAACAUGUAAAAUUUACAACUCUAGAUUAACCAAUCCAAUUAAUUCAGCAUGUUUAGUCCUUUAAUCUUUGUUUAUAGUACUACCUUCAUGAUCCCACACUCCCAAUCAUAUGAACUAAAAUGUUGCACACUCAAUCUUUGGAAGAUAUAUAAAAAAACAACAUAAAUAUAGAUAGAUUAUCUUUCUAUUAGGUUGAGCGAUCUAUCUAACAAAUGUUUUAAAUGCUACACUCAUGAUCUUAUUAUCCAUCAACUUUGUCUUGCUCACUAUGCUUAAGGUUAGAGAAGAACAAAUACACUUUUGGUUCUGUUGGUGUUUUCCACCAACAGGGCCCAUGCACUUGAUCUCUGCCUUGUCUCUAUGAGCAGGUACACUUCGAGCAAAAUAUGAAGGACUUUUACAACUCCCAGAGUCCACCAAGUGAAGAACCUAGAUCUACGAGCACAAACACACUGGAGAUACUGGACACUCAGGCAAUCACUGCCCUGAGAUGCUUAAGGACGUAACUUCUCGAGUAACCCUGUUGUGGAAGUAAUUACUGACCUUCUGCCGGUCAAGAGAGGCGAUCCAGGACGCCCCGUCAUCUCAAUCUCCAUCGGCAUGGUGGACUUUCUAGAAGCACUCUACGACUUUGGCUCCAGCGUCAACAUUAUGCCCAGGGUACUCUAUGAAAAAUUCUUUACACAUCCUUUUUCAGAAACAGCCAUGUGUUUGCAGCUUGCAGAUCGUACGCUAAGUUUCCCAAAGGGAAUAUUGAAGAACCUCUGCGUCCGAGUUGGUACCUUAUAUGCCUCAGCAGACUUCUUGGUAAUAGAGACUGGUACUGAUGAGAGGGCACCGAUCAUCCUAGGGAGGCCAUUCCUGAACACCUCAGGAGCUGUCAUCUACGCUAGUGCUACCAAGAUCAGUUUCUACAUCAAGGGGAGGAAGGAGACGUUUUCCUUCAAGAACAAGACUACACAAAUCUCAGAACAAUCCCGGGAUGAACCAAGGAAGAGGACCAACAGGAGGAACAUUAACAAGCAAAUGUGGACUUAGUCAGCUAAGAUGGUCACUGCAUCUCAAGGAGGUCAAGAUUGUCAACUCAAGUCGCCUUUCUUGAUCAAGAAGGACGACCCCGGUGUUCCAAGCAUCGAGUGCACAAUCAACGGAUAUUCUUUUUAGAAGACACUCUAUGACACUGGAUCUGACGUCAACAUAAUGGCCGCAGUCACUUAUCAGCUACUCCAUGGAACCAUGCCCCUAUGACCAACAUACAUUCAGCUCCAGAUGAUUUGAAGGUUAUUGACAUGGGAGAAGACGAAUACAACCCACCCGCCAUCCUUGGAAGACCGUUCCUCAGCACCGUUAAAGCAAUCAUCUAAAUUGGAAUCGGCGGAGUCCACAUGCAUUUCCCCUCUGAGAAGGUACGCUGCUAUUUUACUGACCCUAACCAUAUAGUUGAAGACUCUAAGCAGGCCAGGACAAGAAGGAGACGAUGCAACCGCAACCAGAGGAGGCAAAUCAUCAAGGACGGAUGGGCAGACUAUGAAGGAGAAGUGGAAAGGUCUGAAGACAUACAGCUUGAACAGAACUGUCCUGAGGAGACCGUAGCACCGAGUCAGGUGUGUAGAGAGAAGAUAGUUAUACACGAAGAGCAGGCGCCGCCGGAACCACCGACUACGCCAUCCAGCGAAUCCCAGGACGACUGAGAAAACGGAGAGUCCCGUUCGGAGGAGUUAAAAAAACACCGAACACCUUGCCAAGAGGUAAACUUGGUAGUUAUCUUUUUCCUUUUAAUUAUUUUAAAAUAGUUUGCUUAGUUAAUCAUGUUCAUAUCAUCUUAAAAAGAAAAUAAAAAUGUUAAAAAAUAGUAAGCCCCAUGUGAUUAUGCUCAUGGCAUAAAACCCAUAAGUGCAUUCACUGUGGUGGCAUAAAAAUGAAAUAAAUAUAUUCCUAUCCUAUAAAAAUAAAAUUGUAAAAAUAAGAUUGUGAUCCUACUAAAGAGUGUAACAUUUAUUAAGGAGGCUCAACAUGAUAAAGGCUAGAUAUUUAUGCUAACACUUAACUAGUUCCACAAAGCUUUGUUGUCUAUUUGAGCUCCACAGAAUUCAAGGAUCAAAGAAGACUAGUAGACGGAGGACAUCCUAAUCACUGUCAGGUUGCUGCCGACAUUCAAAUACACCUCCGCCAUCUGCUAGCUACAUCAGAAGAAAUUGCGUCAAAUCCAGCUUGGGGGAGAGCACCCCCAUUUAUCCAGCUAAGUAUUCUACUCACGUUUAUACUUUACUCUAAUAAUAAAAAGAUGCAUAAUCAUAUAACCCCAAAUAAAGAUUUUGUGCUUAUAUAUAUCUUUGUUUAGUUUGCUAAAUAAAUAAAUAAAUAAAAUUUGCUAUGAACCCUCAUGAUAAGCUCUCAAAUGGAAAUGAUAAGCUCUCAUAUGGGAAGGUUGAGCUGCUGUUUAUCUGUUCCUAGAGAUGCUAGAAUUCUGGAGAAUUUGAUCUUUGAAAAUCUUUAAAAUGUUGCAUGAUGAGUUCCUGUAUGAUGAGAGUUUAAAUUCCUACCACAGCCAUAUAUACAUGCUUGCUAGACUAUGAGCCACACAUUUACUUUUUACUACUUAUGAGCAUUGAGUGUGGUCAAGCUAUGUAGACCCUUAGGAGCUUGUCAUGCGGUUAAAUCAAGAUUCACUUGCACGUUCACUUCUACUUCGGAAGUACGCAUCCACAUAUAUCCAUCCAUUUCCAUCUCCAGAACCACCCAAAAAUAUUCUACUCCUAAUCCGGGAGAGAAUAGCCAAAAAUAUUUCUGUUUUUCACUUGUGAAAUAAAUGCUCAAGUGCGCGGAACCUCGAAAGAAAAGAAAAAGUGAGACGAGAGGUAAAAAUAGACAAGUGUUCGACAGUAGAAUUAGGGGUACAAGAUACCCACCUGAGAGAAAAGAAAAAGAAAAUAUAGAGCAUCUCAUUCUCCUCAAAAAGUUUCAAAAGAGCAAGAAAGGUAUGUAUCCCCUCAAAAUAGCAUAAGUAGAAUUAGACUUUCACCAUUGUUAUCACCAUCAUUACCAUGCAUCAUUCAUUCGCCAC